UGGGGAAUAUUGCACAAUGGGCGCAAGCCUGAUGCAGCCAUGCCGCGUGUAUGAAGAAGGCCUUCGGGUUGUAAAGUACUUUCAGCAGUGAGGAAGGGGGUGUCGUUAAUAGCGGCAUCUCUUGACGUUAGCUGCAGAAGAAGCACCGGCUAACUCCGUGCCAGCAGCCGCGGUAAUACGGAGGGUGCGAGCGUUAAUCGGAAUUACUGGGCGUAAAGCGCAUGCAGGUGGUUUGUUAAGUCAGAUGUGAAAGCCCGGGGCUCAACCUCGGAACUGCAUUUGAAACUGGCAAACUAGAGUACUGUAGAGGGGGGUAGAAUUUCAGGUGUAGCGGUGAAAUGCGUAGAGAUCUGAAGGAAUACCAGUGGCGAAGGCGGCCCCCUGGACAGAUACUGACACUCAGAUGCGAAAGCGUGGGGAGCAAACAGGAUUAGAUACCCCCGUAGUCC
rnacentral:rRNA from 1 species